UAUGGAAUUGGUCGCUUCCUGGCGCUAAAAUGAAUAACUGUCAAUAUUGUAUAAAAUUGUAUAUACAAUGAAACAUUUCUUCAAAUUCAGAAAGGAAAUAGCAAACUAAACCAUGCAAUGCAAUAAAAUAAAAUACCAUGCAAAAUAAAAAUGUGUCACUUACCUUGGUGGAAGUUUGAUCAAGGAAGAUAGUGGAUCAAAAAUGAUUCACAAAACACAAUGAAAGAAAUCUUGAACUAAAGAAAGAGGCUUGCUUUAUAGCGGUAAAUACAUUUUAUUUUGUGACAUAAAAUAAAAGAAAACUUCUACUGUAAAUGUAUAAUUUACAAUAAUUUAUAAGGAAAAUACACGCAUGCUACAUCUACAUGAUAUCUGUAGAUUAUUUAUAAGCAAUUUAGAUAAAAAUGAGAAACAAAACGAAAAAAAAAAAAAUACGAAAGAAAAAUCAUACAAACAUAAAUAUACUUGUUUGACGAAAUACGAUUCGUAUUAUCGAUAAGAAUUGAGUAAAUACACACGUUUACUCUAGAAAACGAAACGUAAUUAUCGAACUUAUUGUUUACAGAGUAGAAAUUUUCAUUAGUGUCUAAAAAUAAUCCCUUAGAAAAUUACUUGAUGUUAUAUCGUUAAAAAUUAUUUAAUAAUAAUGUUUCAUACUAUUUACGAGACUAUAAUAAAACGA